rnacentral:rRNA from 1 species
UACGUAGGGGGCUAGCGUUGUCCGGAAUCAUUGGGUCGGUAAGCGCGCGUAGCGGCCGGUAAGUCCGACUGGUAAAACAAAGGCUCAAACCUUUGAACUGUCAGUGGAUACGUGCCGGGCUAGAGUCCGGGAAGAGGCGAGUGGAACUCCUGGUGUAAGCGGUGGAAUGCGCAGAUAUCAGGAAGAACACCGACGGCGAAGGCAGCUCGCUGGGACGGUACUGACGCUGGAGGCGCGAAAGCCGUGGGGAGCGAACAGG